rnacentral:lncRNA from 10 species
GGGAUGGCUUCUAAAGACAAUAAUUAGCAAUGUUUUUAAACUGGGAGGUUUCUGGCAGAGUACGAAGCACAGGACUGAGGUCUCACUGAUUCUUGUCAAAAGGUCAGCACAGAGUGUAUUUUAUUUGUCAUCAUUUUUGUCUUUCAAGCAGCCACCUGAGGGCCAAUCUGAUGCUCGGGGAGAUGGAGUAUCUUCUUCCAUCACAGUCUCCUGCCGCAUUUCACGUGAUGAUGCAGCAAGAAUUAAGCCAUCUGCAACCUGGUAGGAGGGUCCCUACCAGAACCUUACCCUGCUGGCACCCUGAUCUCAGAUGUCCAGCCUCCAGAACGGUGAGAAAUAAAUGUCUGUUGUUUAAGCGAAGUCUAUGGUAUUUUGCUAUAGCAGGCUGCAAAGGCUAAGACAAUCCUCUUAAUGCUUACAACCAAAAUGGAUCUAACAGUUUCAACUGCAAAUGAGACUAUCAGAGAGCAAGUUUCCAUAGCAACCAUCUCUUGCCAGUCCUUACUAGUUCCAAGGUUAUGGCUUCCAGGUCUGCCUCCCCUCAGCAUACGAAGAAAUAGUCCCCACCUAAUGUUGGAUAAAUCAAUCUUUCAUCUAUUUUAGGAAAAGAGCAAAUCAUCUUAUUCUGCAAUUUUGUUAUGAAUAACUCCAUUUUAUAAAAGAUCAUCUUUCUUGGAUAAAACUUAUUAAUCAAAUAGUUUUUAUUUUUUUUAUUUUUUUGAGAUGAGUCUCACUCUUGUCAUCCAGGCUGGAGUGCAGUGGUGUGAUCUCAGCUCACUGCACCCUCCGCCUUCCAGGUUCAAGCGAUUCUCCUGCCUCAGCCUCCUGAGUAGCUGGGACUACAGGCGCUUGUACCAUGCCCGGCUAAUUUUUGUAUUUUUAGUAGAGAUGGGGUUUCACAUGUUG